rnacentral:misc_RNA from 1 species
AUACAAUUUAAAAAUAAGAAGGAAAGAAAAGCAUUAAUAUAUUUUUUUGUUGGAUUUUCAAUCAUUUUAUUUUUUGUACUAUUCAGAGGAGUUUUACACAGAAGUCAAGGAGGAAACAGGUGUAAGAAUUUCUUACUUCAUAUAUUUUCCCCAUAAUUCAUAAAUAAUAUGUUAUUGCUUCAUUUUUCUAGCUAGGUAAGUCUAAAUCGAAUCUUCAUGUACUACAGCUGAUUGAAGUGUAAUAACAGCAAACAACAACACAUAUUUAAUGAAUAGACACGAGCCAAGCUAAAACAAAUUCAAUUCAUAACAAACAAUUGCUAGUAAGCUAUAACAUACCUCAAGAUUAGUUAUCGAUAAGUAAACAAUUCAACAGUUCUCUCCCUUGUUCAGUGGUGCUGGGUGGCUUGGGUUUCUUCAGA